CACAUGCAAGUCGAACGAAGGCUUCGGCCUUAGUGGCGCACGGGUGCGUAACGCGUGGGAAUCUGCCCUCAGGUUCGGAAUAACAGCGAGAAAUUCGCUGCUAAUACCGGAUGAUAUCGCGAGAUCAAAGAUUUAUCGCCUGAGGAUGAGCCCGCGUAGGAUUAGCUAGUUGGUGUGGUAAAGGCGCACCAAGGCGACGAUCCUUAGCUGGUCUGAGAGGAUGAUCAGCCACACUGGGACUGAGACACGGCCCAGACUCCUACGGGAGGCAGCAGUGGGGAAUAUUGGACAAUGGGCGAAAGCCUGAUCCAGCAAUGCCGCGUGAGUGAUGAAGGCCUUAGGGUUGUAAAGCUCUUUUACCCGGGAUGAUAAUGACAGUACCGGGAGAAUAAGCUCCGGCUAACUCCGUGCCAGCAGCCGCGGUAAUACGGAGGGAGCUAGCGUUAUUCGGAAUUACUGGGCGUAAAGCGCACGUAGGCGGCUUUGUAAGUUAGAGGUGAAAGCCUGGAGCUCAACUCC
rnacentral:rRNA from 1 species